UGUCACGUGCUUUAGAAAUCCAGCCAGUCUGCUAAGACGAUGACGAGUGGGCAUAAUUGAGAUGCGAGAACGAGAAGCUUUGGUUCCGACAUGCCCUUUGAACGCACAGAACAUAUGCCAAGGUUUUACUAAAAGAAAUCAGAAGCCUCGCCUUGUGGAGGUGGCAUUUUUUUCUUAAUUCCCUUUGAAACAAUAGUCCUGCUGCUUGCUUGUGAAGCAGCCAGUAACGGGUGAUGUAAUAUGAACUGUCCCUGUUUUGAACACAGAAGACUCUGGGAUGCAGGUUUGCUGAAUUUGUCAAACAGAAGAUUGGACCUACUCUACAGUCCGCACGGGGUCUAGACGCUGCCCUGACACUGUCAACACUGCAUACACAGAUUUACACCGUUGGAAAACAUUUGCUCUGGUUCCAACAGUCAAGGUCUGGAGAUAGGAUCCAAAUUAGAGAGCAGAAAUGGAUCCCUCUGUCAAACAUGGGAAAAGACAGAACCACAAGUCAAAGAACUGCUUCUAAAGUGGAAUCGCUCUUGUAAAAAGAUGAAUAGGGAUGUGUUUAAACAUCCUAAUGCAUAAUCCUUCCAGGGAACUCUAAAACACAAUAUAGGACACACCUCAGAGUAGGCCCGAAGGACAGCUAAGGAGCUGGGGGCUCUGUCCACAAUCCUUGUAUCCACUCUUGGCUCAGAGAUGUUCGUGAGAACAUAAACCUGAAUUCAUGGUGAAAUAUUUAUUAUUUGGAUAUAUCUUCACUGGUAUUAAGGAGGCUGAGUGAAGUGAACAGAUAGCUUCAGUUAACAUGGCCAAUCUAUAGCAGUCUCAUUUCCUAAAAUCAAAAGAGACGAGCAAUUGAAACUAAAAGGACCGCACAUAACACAUCGUAGAGAAAAUACAACGUACAGAAAAGUCCUCAGUGACGCUCGGCUUCAGUCAGCUUCAGUCCUUCCCACAGUGAUCUGAUAGGGAGAGCAGAGGGUGAGUCCACCCACGCACACCGAGAAGACCAACGUCAGACUUACAAUGUGGGCCGAGCACAGAGAGAGCAAGGGAGAGCUACUGGGCUUUGUUCUUCAAACCAGAAAGUCUAGCACCACACGGUUCACUCUUCACUCACCCAUUUGUCCAUCUAUCCAUCCCCUCAGUGCCCACUAAAAGGCAGGAAGAUGAGUGUCACCCAAGGGAUAAGAGAAGAACCAUCUCCUCGUGCAAACGACUCCCAGGAGAGUAGGAAAAUUAGAGUAAACGCCACUAAGAUGUGUCAAGGUCAGGAGCAAAUGUUCUCCAUUCUCACUCAUUCAAGAAAACUGAAGUUGAAGGCAUAGGAGUAUGAGGUAACUAACAGAGGUCGCUAGAGGCUACGGAAGAAAGAAUAUGGUAGAAGGUGGAUAAUGGGUACCCACAUUGGGGCAUGGGGUAUAGUUGUGAUGUUAUAAAGCACGAGAAGAGAACCACAUUUUAUAACUGCACAAAAUAGAGAAGACUUUGAAAUACAAAGGAAGAGUCUAGAGUUUAUGCCACAUGCCCGUUUAAAACUAAUUAAAAGCUGGAGAGAUGGAUGAGCAAUUAAAAACACUUUGCUGCUCAGGCAUGAGGACUGGAGUUCAGACCCCAGGACCUACAUAACAAGCAAGGAUAAGUUCUGUGCACAGCGACAAACAAGAGGGCCUCGAUAGGAUUGCUGGCUCCUACCUUAGCUGAAACACACAAGUCCCAUGUUCAGCGAGAGACCCUGCUUCAGAGGAAUAAUGUGGGGAGUGAUGGGAAAGAUGUCUUACAUACCCCUCUGGUAUGUGCUGUCAUGGGCCUGCAUACCUGUACAGACAUGCACAUACAUGUUUUACACACAUACACCCACAAUCACAUGCAUGUGCACACACACACACACACACACACACACACACACAUGAAUACGGUGCAGCAGAGGCUUUAAAGACUUAGGUCAGAAAGAAUGGAGUGAGCACAUCAAGCAACAUUUCUGUGGCUCGGGCACAUUUAUUGAAUUUAGCACCUUUAUAUUUGUAUGUGUAUUUUUAUCAAAUUAAUUCCUUUUUUCACUGGCUUGACAGAAUAAAAGACAUUUAGUCUUCUU